rnacentral:miRNA from 1 species
AAUCCUUGCUACCUGGGU